UUCUUGCAAAAGAAGCAUUCAGCUUGACUCUUAUCGGGCUUAAUCUUUCUGGUCUGAUCCUGCACUGAUGUCCCAGUCUGAACUUGCACCUUCUUCACUUUUUUCUUCUUGUUUUUCUUUCCUUUAUCAAAGGAUCGAGAACCAGAAGACGAACCUCCCACUAAGUUCACCGACUCCUUGUGGAGUUGGUGAUCCUUCUCAAAGUUCUGAAGCAACCCCA
rnacentral:lncRNA from 1 species